UUCUGAGCAGCUGCGACGGCUUGGGAUGACACCUGCUUAACCACAGGCGGCACUUGCUUUCCAAACUUGCUUACAGACUCAUCCACCUACAUUCAUGACAAUAAGACCCCACAAGAGCAGAAGAAUGGGUUCAAAAGAACGGUGCUCACCUUGCGAUCGAUGAACCUGAGUAGUUCAAUGGGAACACCAUGGAACUUGUCAUAUACGGGGGCCACAACAGUCUUAACCGUUCCCUCGACAGUCUGAACACCAGGCUUCAAAGGACCAGACCUCUCCUUGGCAUAUUCAUAAAGGCUUGAGAAGCACAGCACAGCAUGGAGGGUUGCAACUUGGACAAACUCAAGGUACUUGAGUCUCUGUUCCUCUUCUUUAGCCUUCAAUCAUGAAUCAAAAAGAUAAUCAAAUCAAUCUUUGUUGCAAGAAAAGAAACAUCUCUAAGAAAUCACACAAUAUUGCUGGGAAAAUGUAGAACAAGGAACGAAACUACAUUUUAAUAUUAGGUUUUUUUUUUUUUAUCAUUUCAAUCUCCCAAAAAAGGGGUCAAAAUCUAACCCAACUACAGCCAAAGAAAUCAUAAUUUUAUUAAAUUCGAUUGAGAGGAGGCCCCUGUUUUUUUAACAUAUCGUAUAAAUUAUGGUUUUAAUAUGGAGUGGGAAAAAUUAUGUUUGAAUAACUUUCUGCUCCAGAUUGGUUUUUUGUAUCAAAAAUUUCAAACGUCCAAAUUACAAUCUUUUUCUCUUUUUCCUAUUCCAUUUCUCAGGAGCCAAACAGGGAGUAGAGGUCAAAAUUCCACUCAUUCUGCCUUGAAAUCGAACAAACAAAAGUAUGUUAGUUCAAAAUCUAACAUACUUUCUCAAUCCUCAACCCCAAUUUCAAGUCCUCCAAAUAUGAUCAUAGCCAUACAAAUAAAUCAACAAGGAAAUCGAAACCCUAAUUUUUCCAUCACCGAUCAAUAACAAAACAACAGAAACAUCAAAGGCAAUCUCCUCUUGAAUCCUAAGUAAACAAACAGCGAGAACAAAUAAAAUAAAAAAUAAAUAAAAGGAAUAAAAAAAAAAAUACCAUCUCCUGUUGGGGCAUAGAAUCCGAUACGGCCAUUUUAGAAAAUUGGAAAAAGUAGUUGAAAGAAGAAAGCGAUGGGAGAAAUUGAAGACGUCUGCGUUAAAGAAACGGAGCAAGAGAAAGCGCGCUGAAAUUGUUGUUUGAGAUGUAAGUUGGACGAGGGGUUUUAUAGGGUCAUUGGAAGAUUCUGGGGGCCGAUCUAGACGGAGAAAAUAUAGACGGGCUGCGGUGUGAAAGCAUGUGGCUAGUGGCUACGCCUACGCGGCGUCGUUUUCGUGACUCUUCGCCGUUAAGCUAUUGUGGUGCCGCCCAAGUUCAGUUAUCUAUCCCUACUAUUUACCCAA